rnacentral:rRNA from 1 species
UACGUAGGGUGCGAGCGUUAAUCGGAAUUACUGGGCGUAAAGCGUGCGCAGGCGGUUCGUUAAGUUCGGUGUGAAAGCCCCGGGCUCAACCUGGGAAUGGCAAUGGAAACUGGCGAGCUUGAGUGUGGCAGAGGGGGGUGGAAUUCCGCGUGUAGCAGUGAAAUGCGUAGAGAUGCGGAGGAACACCGAUGGCGAAGGCAGCCCCCUGGGCCAACACUGACGCUCAGGCACGAAAGCGUGGGGAGCAAACAGG